UAGGGAAUCUUCCACAAUGGACGAAAGUCUGAUGGAGCAACGCCGCGUGAGUGAAGAAGGGUUUCGGCUCGUAAAACUCUGUUGUUAAAGAAGAACAUAUCUGAGAGUAACUGUUCAGGUAUUGACGGUAUUUAACCAGAAAGCCACGGCUAACUACGUGCCA
rnacentral:rRNA from 1 species